UUUUUACCUUUUGAACCAAAAUUGAGGAAGCUGCAUGGGUGACAUCCUGUGUCGUUACUAUUGCUGUCAGUCGACUUCGAUGGAUGAUUAGUACUACAUCUGGGAUUCUUUUCAUCAAGAUUUUUUCAUGAAACUUGUUUGAAAUCAUGUCUUCUAUGCUGUGCUCGAAAAUCAUAACAAUGCAACGGUUGGAUUGUUCUCAAUCAAGUUCAUCCUCGCAAUGGGUCAUGUUCCUACAGUGAUGUUUAGUUUAACCCAUGAGAUCUUCACCUUAAUCUUGCUCCGAAACUUACAAGAGUGCUAAUUGGACUUUGGCAAAGCUUUGGACUGAAAUCAAUGGAGGACCAGUAAAGGAAGUUCGUGUGCAUCAAUAUGUCACCAUGAAUUAACAAUCGAGGUAGGGAGGCUCACCCUAGUUAGCGGCUUUUCUGAAUUUUGUUAUUGUUUGUAAAUGCUUUAUAAAAUUUUCUUACUUGAGUUGAUGAGGAUGACUUGAGAGUGAGCGGGGCAUAGCUAGCGACUUCCUUGGGUUUCGAUCCCCUAAACCUCCGGAGGGGCUGUACAGACGGGAUAGUGUCUGACAUCCUUUGAGGUAUGACACUAGAUCUAGGUGGUAUGGCAUAAAUGGACACUCUCGCUACUCUUCACCAAUGGUUAAAGAUUUAUAUCUUUGGUGAGGAUGUAGUUGGCUAGUAUUAGACCGGUCAUCAGGUUUGGAUUUUACCCAGGUACUCUUGGAUUUCCAUUUUAUUUUACAUUGGAAAAAGCUUCUAUCGAUUUUAUUUCAUUUUACUCAACUGGCGCCAAUUACUAUUUGGUUUUCAAACCUAGCUAGGGUUGAUGUUUGAGCAGCGAGGACGAAAGCUCACCCCUACUAUAGUUGGUCUUGCAGGUACUGUGCACGAGGAUUGAGAAGGACUUUGGGACUGAGCUGGGUGUUGUGUAUUCACCUUAAACCUUUCGGUAUAAUUGCAUUCACAUAUUUAAUCACCUCUGUUUUAAUUGUCAUUAUUUCUUUGAGGUGAUAGUUUGAUUGUAAUGACCUCAAUCUUUGCUUAGUUCCUUCCGUUAAUUUUCAUUUGGUGUACCAAGUGUUCGAGACCAACUUGA